GAUUCCCCUAGUAACUGCGAGUGAAGAGGGAAGAGCUCACAUUUAAAAUCUGGCGGUCUGGCGGCCGUCCGAGUUGUAGCCUGGAGAAGCGUCCUCUGCGCCGGACCCGUGUACAAGUCUCCUGGAACGGAGCGUCGUAGAGGGUGAUAAUCCCGUCGUCGACACGGACCUCCGGUUAGCUAUGCGAGGCGCUCUCGAAGAGUCGAGUUGUUUGGGAAUGCAGCUCAAAGUGGGUGGUGAAUUCCAUCUAAAGCUAAAUACAGGCGAGAGACCGAUAGCGGACAAGUACCGUGAGGGAAAGAUGAAAAGCACUCUGGAAAGAGAGUUAAACAGCACGUGAAAUCGCUGAGAGGGAAACGCUUGAAGUCAGUCGCGUCGGCGUUAGGAGGUCAGCCUUCCCGGGAUAAUAACCGUGGGGCGCACUCUCCCGUCGACGGGCCAGCAUCGAUUUCGACCGCCGGAGAAGGGCUCGGGGAACGUGGCACCUCCGGGUGUGUUAUAGCCCCCUGUCGUAUGCGGCGGUCGGGAUCGAGGUUUUUACAUGUUCGCAGCACGCCUUUUUGGCCGGGGCCGUUCGCGGUCCACGUCCGUGCUUAGGAUGCUGGCGUAAUGGCUUUGAACGACCCGUCUUGAAACACGGACCAAGGAGUCCAACUCGCCUGCGAGUGUUUGGGUGGAAAACCCGAGCGCGUAACGAAAGUGAAAGGUCGAGAACCCCUUUGACCGGGGGGGCACCGACGCCCGGGCCCUUUCAACCCCCUCGAAAGGGGGGGCCCUGGACCCGCGGUAGAGCAUGCGUGUUGGGACCCGAAAGAUGGUGAACUAUGCCUGAAUAGGGUGAAGCCAGGGGAAACCCUGGUGGAGGCUCGUAGCGAUUCUGACGUGCAAAUCGAUCGUCGAAUUUGGGCAUAGGGGCGAAAGACUAAUCGAACCAUCUAGUAGCUGGUUCCCGCCGAAGUUUCCCUCAGGAUAGCAGAAGCUCGCGCAUCAGAUUUACGUGGUAAAGCGAAUGAUUAGAGGUCCUGGGGUCCUUUGCGUCCUCAACCUAUUCUCAAACUUUGAACAUGUAAGAACCGGCCGUCGCUCGAAUGGACGGCCCGGGACGAUUGAGAGCUUCUAGUGGGCCAUUUUUGGUAAGCAGAACUGGCGAUGCGGGAUGAACCGAACGUGAGGUUAAGGUGCCGGAAUGCACGCUCAUCAGACACCACAAAAGGUGUCGGUUCAUCUAGACAGCAGGACGGUGGCCAUGGAAGUCGGAACCCGCUAAGGAGUGUGUAACAACUCACCUGCCGAAUGAACCGGCCCUGAAAAUGGAUGGCGCUCAAGCGUGCUACCCAUACCUCACCGUCGGCGUUAUAGUGACGCGCCGACGAGUAGGCGGGCGUGGGGGUCCUGUGCAGAAGCCCAGGCGGGACGCCGGG
rnacentral:rRNA from 1 species